rnacentral:rRNA from 1 species
AUGUGGCCCGCUUCCAAGUGUGUCUGCGCGCCGGCCACCCACGCCGGGUCCUUCAAGUGCCGCUUCCACCUCACCAACUCCCAGGGCCAGGGAAGCCGCCCUUCUUUGCCCCCUUCACCGGCCGCGGCCAACGCGGUGCCGCGGCACCCGGCCUCGCCGUUCUCGUCCUCCGGCACCGUCACGACCCAGUGA